GUGUCAGCCGCCGCGGUAAUACGUAGGUGGCAAGCGUUGUCCGGAAUUAUUGGGCGUAAAGCGCGCGCAGGUGGUUUCUUAAGUCUGAUGUGAAAGCCCACGGCUUAACCGUGGAGGGUCAUUGGAAACUGGGAGACUUGAGUGCAGAAGAGGAAAGUGGAAUUCCAAGUGUAGCGGUGAAAUGCGUAGAGAUUUGGAGGAACACCAGUGGCGAAGGCGACUUUCUGGUCUGCAACUGACGCUGAGGCGCGAAAGCAUGGGGAGCAAACAGGAUUAGAUACCCUGGUAGUCCAUGCCGUAAACGAUGAGUACUAGGUGUGGGGGGUCUGACCCCCUCCGUGCCGGAGUUAACACAAUAAGUAAUCCACCUGGGGAGUACGACCGCAAGGUUGAAACUUAAAGGAAUUGACGG
rnacentral:rRNA from 1 species